rnacentral:rRNA from 1 species
GAUGAACGCUGACAGAAUGCUUAACACAUGCAAGUCUUUGGCGAAGCUGUGCUUGCACAGCCUAGCCAAGGCGGACGGGUGAGUAACGCGUAAGGAACUUGCCCUGCAGUCAGGGAUAACAGACGGAAACGACUGAUAAGACCUGGUAAAGUCAGGCGGACUCAUGUCCAGCCUGAUGAAAAGUGAUGCUGCAGGAGAGCCUUGCGUCCUAUUAGCUUGUUGGUGGGGUAACGGCCCACCAAGGCGAUGAUAGGUAGCCGGCCUGAGAGGGUGGACGGCCACAAGGGGACUGAGAUACGGCCCUGACUCCUACGGGAGGCAGCAGUGGGGAAUAUUGGACAAUGGGGGCAACCCUGAUCCAGCAAUUCUGUGUGCACGAUGAAGGUUUUCGGAUUGUAAAGUGCUUUCAGCAGGGAAGAAAAAAAUGACGGUACCUGCAGAAGAAGCGACGGCUAAAUACGUG